CCGACUCUCGGUAGCCAAGUUGGUUUAAGGCGCAAGACUGUAAUUUACCACUACGAAAUCUUGAGAUCGGGCGUUCGACUCGCCCCCGGGAGAUAUUUUUUUCUGAAAUUUUUUUGGCUUUAUUUUUUCAUUAAUACACCUGUGUUAGUUAUGAUUGCCA
rnacentral:tRNA from 1 species